UGUGGCAUAUCCAAUAAGCGGAGGAAAAGAAACCAACAGGGAUUCCCUUAGUAACGGCGAGUGAACCGGGAAAAGCUCAAAUUUGAAAUCUGCCAACAGGCCGAGUUGUAAUUUGUAGAUGGCUACACUGCAUAAUAGUAGAUGCUCAAGUUCUUUGGAAAAAGACAUCAUGGAGGGUGACAAUCCCGUGAGGCAUGUUACUAGGAGCAUAUAGUGGGCUUUCUAAGAGUCGAGUUGUUUGGGAAUGCAGCUCAAAGUGCGUGGUGAAUACCAUGUAAAGCUAAAUAUGGACGAGAGACCGAUAGCGAACAAGUACUGUGAAGGAAAGAUGAAAAGCACUCCGAAAGGAGAGUGAAAUAGUACGUGAAAUUGUUAAAGUGGAAGGGCUUGAGAUCAGAAUUGGUAGUUUGGGUUCCACGUCCUCUUGGGGGCGUGUACUCCCUUUCCACCGGGCCAGCGGGAGUUUCGUCUCUUGGGUAAAAGCAGUGGAAUGUAGCAGCUUGUCUGUAUUAUAGCCUCUGUUCAUACAAGACGUCGAGACUUGUUGGUGCGAAUUCCUUGG
rnacentral:rRNA from 1 species